rnacentral:rRNA from 1 species
UGAGUUUGAUCCUGGCUCAGAUUGAACGCUGGCGGCAGGCUUAACACAUGCAAGUCGAACGGUAACAUGAGUGCUUGCACUUGAUGACGAGUGGCGGACGGGUGAGUAAGGUAUGGGGAUCUACCGAAUGGAGGGGGACAACAGUUGGAAACGACUGCUAAUACCGCAUAAUGUUGAGAAACCAAAGCAUGGGACUUUCGGGCCAUGCGCCAUUUGAUGAACCCAUAUGGGAUUAGCUAGUUGGUAGGGUAAAGGCUUACCAAGGCGACGAUCUCUAGCUGGUCUGAGAGGAUGACCAGCCACACUGGAACUGAGACACGGUCCAGACUCCUACGGGAGGCAGCAGUGGGGAAUAUUGCACAAUGGGGGAAACCCUGAUGCAGCCAUGCCGCGUGUAUGAAGAAGGCCUUCGGGUUGUAAAGUACUUUCGGUAAUGAGGAAGGUGGUGUAUCUAAUAGGUGCAUCAAUUGACGUUAAUUACAGAAGAAGCACCGGCUAACUCCGUGCCAGCAGCCGCGGUAAUACGGAGGGUGCGAGCGUUAAUCGGAAUGACCGGGCGUAAAGGGCAUGUAGGCGGAUAAUUAAGUUAGGUGUGAAAGCCCUGGGCUCAACCUAGGAAUUGCACUUAAAACUGGUUAACUAGAGUAUUGUAGAGGAAGGUAGAAUUCCACGUGUAGCGGUGAAAUGCGUAGAGAUGUGGAGGAAUACCGGUGGCGAAGGCGGCCCUCUGGACAGAUACUGACGCUGAGAUGCGAAAGCGUGGGGAGCAAACAGGAUUAGAUACCCUGGUAGUCCACGCUGUAAACGAUGUCGAUUUGGAGUUUGUUGCCUAGAGUGAUGGGCUCCGAAGCUAACGCGAUAAAUCGACCGCCUGGGGAGUACGGCCGCAAGGUUAAAACUCAAAUGAAUUGACGGGGGCCCGCACAAGCGGUGGAGCAUGUGGUUUAAUUCGAUGCAACGCGAAGAACCUUACCUGGUCUUGACAUCCACAGAAUCUUUCAGAGAUGAGGGAGUGCCUUCGGGAACUGUGAGACAGGUGCUGCAUGGCUGUCGUCAGCUCGUGUUGUGAAAUGUUGGGUUAAGUCCCGCAACGAGCGCAACCCUUAUCCUUUGUUGCCAGCGAUUAGGUCGGGAACUCAAAGGAGACUGCCGUUGAUAAAACGGAGGAAGGUGGGGACGACGUCAAGUCAUCAUGGCCCUUACGACCAGGGCUACACACGUGCUACAAUGGCGUAUACAAAGGGAGGCGA